AUACGGAGGAUCCGAGCGUUAUCCGGAUUUAUUGGGUUUAAAGGGAGCGUAGGCGGACUAUUAAGUCAGCUGUGAAAGUUUGCGGCUCAACCGUAAAAUUGCAGUUGAUACUGGUCGUCUUGAGUGCAGUAGAGGUAGGCGGAAUUCGUGGUGUAGCGGUGAAAUGCUUAGAUAUCACGAAGAACUCCGAUUGCGAAGGCAGCUUACUGGACUGUAACUGACGCUGAUGCUCGAAAGUGUGGGUAUCAAACAGGAUUAGAUACCCUGGUAGUCCACACAGUAAACGAUGAAUACUCGCUGUUUGCGAUAUACAGUAAGCGGCCAAGCGAAAGCGUUAAGUAUUCCACCUGGGGAGUACGCCGGCAACGGUGAAACUCAAAUGAAUUGACGGGG
rnacentral:rRNA from 1 species